GACGUAGGGGGCAAGCGUUGUUCGGAAUCACUGGGCGUAAAGCGUCUGUAGGUGGUUUAAAAAGUCUACUGUUAAAAAUUGAAGCUUAACUUCAAAGAUGCCGUAGAAACUUUUAAACUUGAGGAUGGUAGGGGUAGAGGGAAUUUCCAGUGGAGCGGUGAAAUGCGUAGAUCUUGGAAAGACCACCAAUGGCGAAGGCACUCUACUGGGCCAUGACUGACACUAAGAGACGAAAGCUAGGGGAGCAAAUGGG
rnacentral:rRNA from 1 species